UACGUAGGGUGCAAGCGUUAUCCGGAAUUAUUGGGCGUAAAGAGCUCGUAGGCGGUCUGUCGCGUCUGCUGUGAGAUCUGGGGGCUCAACCCCCAGCCUGCAGUGGGUACGGGCAGACUAGAGUGCGGUAGGGGAGAUUGGAACUCCUGGUGUAGCGGUGGAAUGCGCAGAUAUCAGGAAGAACACCGAUGGCGAAGGCAGAUCUCUGGGCCGUAACUGACGCUGAGGAGCGAAAGCGUGGGGAGCGAACAGG
rnacentral:rRNA from 1 species